rnacentral:rRNA from 1 species
AUACGGAGGAUGCGAGCGUUAUCCGGAUUUAUUGGGUUUAAAGGGAGCGUAGGUGGGAUAUUAAGUCAGCUGUGAAAGUUUGGGGCUCAACCUUAAAAUUGCAGUUGAUACUGGUUUCCUUGAGUACGGUACAGGUGGGCGGAAUUCGUGGUGUAGCGGUGAAAUGCUUAGAUAUCACGAAGAACUCCGAUCGCGAAGGCAGCUCACCGGGCCGGAACUGACACUGAUGCUCGAAAGUGCGGGUAUCAAACAGGAUUAGAUACCCUGGUAGUCCGCACAGUAAACGAUGAAUACUCGCUGUUUGCGAUACACCGUAAGCGGCCAAGCGAAAGCGUUAAGUAGUCCACCUGGGGAGUACGCCGGCAACGGUGAAACUCAAAGGAAUUGGCGGGG